rnacentral:rRNA from 1 species
CACGUAGGGGGCGAGCGUUGUCCGGAUUCAUUGGGCGUAAAGCGCGCGCAGGCGGCUCGGAAAGUCGGGUGUGAAAACUCGGGGCUCAACCCCGGGCGUGCAUCCGAUACUGCCGGGCUUGAGGCAGGUAGGGGAGAUCGGAAUUCCCGGUGUAGCAGUGAAAUGCGUAGAGAUCGGGAGGAACAUCUGUGGCGAAGGCGGCCAUCUGGACCAGCACUGACACUGAGCACGAAAGCGUGGGAGCAACAGG